rnacentral:rRNA from 1 species
UAGUCCACGCCGUAAACGAUGUCAACUAGCCGUUGGGAGCAAUUAAGCUCUUAGUGGCGCAGCUAACGCGAUAAGUUGACCGCCUGGGGAGUACGCCGGCAACGGUAAAACUCAAAUGAAUUGACGGGGGCCCGCACAAGCGGUGGAGCAUGUGGUUUAAUUCGAUGCAACGCGAAAAACCUUACCUACCCUUGACAUCCUCAGAACUUGUUAGAGAUAACUUGGUGCCUUCGGGAACUGAGUGACAGGUGCUGCAUGGCUGUCGUCAGCUCGUGUCGUGAGAUGUUGGGUUAAGUCCCGCAACGAGCGCAACCCUUGUCCCUAGUUGCCAGCACGUAAAGGUGGGAACUCUAGGGAGACUGCCGGUGACAAACCGGAGGAAGGUGGGGAUGACGUCAAAUCAUCAUGGCCUUUAUGCCCAGGGCUACACACGUGCUACAAUGGUACCGACAAAGGGUAGCGACACUGCGAAGUGAAGCCAAUCCCAAAAACGGUAUCUCAGUUCGGAUUGG